rnacentral:rRNA from 1 species
CCUACGGGAGGCAGCAGCUAAGAAUCUUCCGCAAUGGGGGAAACCCUGACGGAGCGACGCCGCGUGGACGAAGAAGGCCGCAAGGUUGUAAAGUCCUUUUGCAGGCGAAGAAUAAGGCGAAGAGUGGAAAGCUUGGUCGAUGACGUUAGCCUGCGAAUAAGCCCCGGCCAAUUACGUGCCAGCAGCCGCGGUAACACGUAUGGGGCAAGCGUUGUUCGGAAUUACUGGGCGUAAAGGGCGUGUAGGCGGUUUCGUAAGCCUGGCGUGAAAGUCAUCGGCCCAACCGAUGGACGGCGCUGGGAACUGCGGGACUGGAGUUUUGGAGGGGGAGCUGGAAUUCCAGGUGUAGGGGUGAAAUCUGUAGAGAUCUGGAAGAACACCGGAGGCGAAGGCGAGCUCCUGGCCAAUGACUGACGCUGAGGCGCGAAAGCGUGGGGAGCAAACAGGAUUAGAUACCCUGGUAGUCCACGCUGUAAACGAUGUGCACUAGGUGUUGGUGCCAUACGGGCAUCGGUGCCGUAGCUAAGGCGAUAAGUGCACCGCCUGGGGAGUAUGCUCGCAAGGGUGAAACUUAAAGGAAUUGACGG